AUGAAAUUUAAAGAAAUCUUACUUGCCCAAAAGAAAUAUUUAAUUAACUACAUGGAAUUUUCUGUUCUUCUGGAAGAAUAUGCAUAGACGAAUUUUAUUAUUUAGCAGUGGUGGCUUAGCUUAGGUGAGUUAACUCUGGGUUACUGAACUGAAGGUCGGAGGUUCAAGCCCCGACGCUGCCAAGCUGUCACUGUUGGGCCCUUGAGCGAGGUCCUUAACCAUCUCUGCUCCAUCGACGCUGUCAUGCGCUCUGACCCCAACUUACUGGCAUGUUAUGGUAUGCGAAGAAAAAGACUUUCUCUGCAAUGUGUAUGUGACCAAUAAACCGCUACAUAAGCAGUGUUAUUUCAGUACCAUGGAGAGAUCUCUCCCAACAGCGGGUGUUCAAACAUAGGGGAAUUUUUUUUUUUUUUUAGUUAAAUGCACUGUUAUUAUAGAUAAGUGGUCUGAUGGAUUAGUAACUGAUUGAGUCACUGAUUCAGUAAGAAUUUGUUAGACUGAUUCAUAUCGGUAACUCCUACGGUCUGUGAAUCUUUUAGAACGAUUUGCUUAGAGGAUGUAAAGAUAAGUGUCUUUAACCAGAAAAUUGGACGACGCUGGUCACGCUGUGUUUUGAGAUGGAGUCUGCGAGGACAACACAUUCUUGUCAAUGCCAUCUUUUCCCGAUACAGUUUUUUAAUCUCACCACACUCAAUUUACUGUAAAAUCACAACUCGGGUUUUGCCGUGGAUUCGGUAGCGAUGCAGGAAACACUGGUGAAAACACAAAUAUCCCCUUAUAAUAAAGAAUGUAUGACCCAUAACGUUGCUUGUUUUCUUUUAGAUGUUGUCACAGUGAUGCUGUCAGAUGGUUAAAACCACUCUCCUGUCGUCAGUCCUCCUGAUCAUAGCCUUCAUAGUAAGCGAGUUCGGUGCAGUAUGACUCAGUUGCAGCACUGAUUGUAAAACUAAACGUGAUUGGUUGGAGCGAGACCGUUCUACGAUUGGUCAGUGCAAUGUGGCAGUUAUUCGAUUGGCUUGAGUAGACGGUGGGUGGAGUCCAACUAUUUGUUGAUUUGUAUGCACCACUCUUGAUGCUAGGAAUGUUUCAUAAUCCACAAGUGCGUGCAGAUAUUUAUUUAUUAAUUUAAUUAAUUUUUGUGACUUCUAGCAUAUAUUUGUGGAUCUCACAAUGUAUGAAAAAAUUUGGAAGACAUUUUGCUGAAAAGUGUUAAUUUCCCAUAUGUAUGGCGCCUUUAGGGACACCCUGUACAUUGGUAAAGUAUGUAUAUGCAAAAAACGGCUGUACAGGAAUCCCAAUAAAAUUCGACAACAAAUAUAUUAUAUAUAACAUUUCUUUCUUACCUCACCAGACGUUCUCCUCCUGCGAUCUGGUAUCACUAGAGUAUUCGUAUUACUUCUUGGAACUAGAGUAGAACCGAUACUCGUUCUUGGUCCAACUAACAUGUAGCGUUUAUCUCCGGAUCUGUACUGGAUGCUGUGACACAGUGUCCCGUCAUAAUUUGUAUCUUGCAAAUACUUGGAGGAAUAGUCUGUAGAUUUGGAGCACUGCAUUACAAUCAGCACGAUGAUACUGAUGAUGAAAAGAAAUGAAACCGAACCCAAUGUAAUGAUCAAAUAAAAUGUAACAUUAUUUUCUUCCUCUUCUUUUACAGCGUUGUUAACAUCGGACGCUGCAAAAGCCUCUUUGGGCUCAACAAGUUUGAUAAUCACAGUCGCUGUUGCUGAAAACGAAACAUUUCCAUUGUCUUUGACCAAUAUGACCAGUUUAUGUUCAGCCUCAUCUGUUUCUGUGAAUGAGCGAAGGGUCCUUAUCUGUCCUGUAUAACGGUCCAAAGCAAAGAGACUGUGGUCACUCACUUCCUGCAGUGAAAAUAAUAACCAGCCGUUGUAUCCUAUAUCCGCGUCAUAGGCUCGCACUUUAGUCACCAAAUGCCCUGCGUUGACAUUGCGGGGAAUCUCCUCCACACCUUCAGCAGAACCGUUAGCACUGACUGGAUAUAAGAUCACUGGAACGUUGUCGUUCUGAUCCAGAAUAAACACUUUCACUGUGACGUUGCUGCUUAGUGACGGAGUUCCAGAAUCUGAAGCGAGUACGUGGAACUGGAACGUUUUUGUAGUUUCGAAGUCAAAGCUCUUAAGUGCACGUAUAACACCUGUCUCUGUAUUAAUAUUCAAAACUGACCACAUGUCAUUAGACCUCGCUUCACCUUUCAUGAUUUGAUACGUGAUUUCCGCAUUUUCAUUCAAGUCUUUGUCAGUUGCGCUCACCGAGAAUAUGGAAGAGCCUGGAACAUUGUUUUCUGUUAAAUAAAGCUCAAGUGGAUUUUGAGGAAAUUCUGGAAGGUUAUCAUUUAUGUCUGAUACCUGCACACUCAGAGAUUUAAAAGAGGACAAAGCAGGUUGGCCCAUGUCUAUAGCCGUUAAUACAAUAUCAUAGUGGGGUAUGAGCUCUCUGUCUAAGUGUUUACUUGUAAUUAAUGAAUACACGUUAUCUUCAACAGAUGGCUUUAACUCAAAUGGCAAACCAAGUGAAAUGCUACAAACGAUUUUGCCAUUAAUUCCAGAGUCUUUGUCUGUAACACUAAUUAGAGAAAUGACAGUUCCUGGUUUUGAGUCCUCUUGAACAGUAUUUAGUAUUGAAGUUACUUCUAUUUCAGGUUUAUUGUCGUUGACGUCUAUUAUUUUGAUGAUAACCCUGCAGUCGACAGAGAGCGGAGGCUGUCCUUUAUCGGAGGCCUGUAUGUUUAAUCUAUAAGUCUGAGUGUCCUCAAAAUCGAUCUCAUUUUUGACUUGAAUUUCUCCAGUAAUGCGGUCUACUUGAAAAAUAUCUUGGAUUUUACUUUUUGUAUUUCUACCCCAUGAAUACUCUAUUUCUCCAUUGCUGCUUUCAUCGGGAUCAGUAGCAUUCACUCUCAUUACAAUCUUUCCAACAGAGACGUCUUCGUGUAAAGAUAACGAGUACACGUCUUGGCUACACACAGGUUGAUUGUCAUUUAUAUCAAGAACAGUUAUAGUUAUGUUAAGAUUCCCAGAUUUUGGUGGAUUUCCACCGUCUAGAGCCGUUAAAAGUAAUUCAUGUUCAAUGGUACAUUCCCGAUCCAAAUAUUUUUGUAACACUAGCGACGGAAUUCUAUCCUCAUCACCGUCUCUUGUUUCCAAGCUAAAGUGUUCGUUUUGACUUAAUUUGUAAGCGCGAAUAGAAUUAGUACCAAUAUCUGGAUCUCGCGCUGGUUGCAAAUCAAGUCGUGCACCUGGAGCUUUAUUUUCUGCUACCUCUAAAUGUAAGUGUUUAUCUGCAAAACUGGGAGCGUGGUCGUUUAUGUCAACUAUUUCAAUACCAAUAUAAUGAAUUUGAAGAGGAUUCUCAACAGCAAUCUUUAUGUUUAUCAAGCAGACAUCAUUACCAAUACAUAGGUUCUCUCUGUCGAUUUUCUUUUGAACGUACAAGAUUCCAUUGUCCUGGUUUACCUUGAAAAUCGCGUCCUUAGAUCCAGAUACGAUACGCAAUCGUCUGUCCACCAAAGUACCGACAUCAAGACCCAAAUCCUUAGCAAUAUUUCCCACAACUGUUCCUUCUUUCACCUCCUCCGGAACAGAGUACCUUAUCUGACCAGAAACCCGCUCCACGAAGCACAAUAGCAAAGAGAAACACAGAGCAAUCCGGCAGUAGUCCCAUUUUCGUAUUUGUCUGCCGUCUUCCAUCGCGGACGGAAAUAUUCAAAUUAUUCAAGAACAAACUGUCAAUAAUUUUCAUGAAUCGGGGUCGGAUAAAGGUUAUAAAUAUAUCCGACGAAUGUAACAAAAACAGGAUCAAACAUAAACCCAAUAAAGAAAUCGCUCUGCUCCAUACACCCAUCACACACACACUUUCCAGCCUGGAAAACAGCGGAAAAAAGGGUAGGGCUUUAUACUAUAUUGGUGUAAUACUGACGCCAUGUGGAGCACAAUCAAGCCAGCAUUUCUUAUUUUUUUUGC
ensembl:lncRNA